rnacentral:rRNA from 1 species
CUCAAAGAUUAAGCCAUGCAUGUAUAAGUAUAAACGAUUCAAUCGUGAAACCGCGAACGGCUCAUUAUAACAGCUAUAAUUUACUUGAUCUUGACAAUCCUACUUGGAUAACUGUGGUAAUUCUAGAGCUAAUACAUGCACCAAAGCUCUGACCUUACGGGAAGAGUGCAUUUAUUAGAACAAAACCAAGCGGCUUCGGUCGUUUUUUGUUGACUCAGAAUAACUAAGCUGAUCGCAUGGUCUUGUACCGGCGACGUGUCUUUCAAGUAUCUGCCUUAUCAACUUUCGAUGGUAGUGUAUCUGACUACCAUGGUUGUGACGGGUAACGGAGGAUAAGGGUUCGACUCCGGAGAAGRGGCCUGAGAAAUGGCCACUACGUCUAAGGAUGGCAGCAGGCGCGCAAAUUACCCACUCUCAGAACGAGGAGGUAGUGACGAGAAAUAACGAGACCGUUCUCUACGAGGCCGGUCAUCGGAAUGGGUACAAUCUAAACCCUUUAACGAGUAUCUAUGAGAGGGCAAGUCUGGUGCCAGCAGCCGCGGUAAUUCCAGCUCUCAAAAUGCAUAGAAYUAUUGCUGCGGUUAAAAAGCUCGUAGUUGGAUCUGUGCCAGGGAGUCGGUCCACUUUCGAGUGGUACUGGCUAACUCUGGCUUUUUGCUGGUUUUCUCGUCGUAGGCUUAACCGCUUGCGGCGGGUGGCUGGCGAUUUUACUUUGAACAAAUCAGAGUGCUUAACACRGGCGUUUCGCUUGAAUGUUCGUGCAUGGAAUAAUAGAAAAGGAUUUYGGUUCUAUUUUAUUGGUUUUAUAGACUGAGAUAAUGGUUAACAGAGACAAACGGGGGCAUUCGUAUUGCUGCGUGAGAGGUGAAAUUCUUGGACCGCAGCAAGACGAACUACAGCGAAAGCRUUUGCCAAGAAUGUCUUCAUUAAUCAAGAACGAAAGUCAGAGGUUCGAAGGCGAUCAGAUACCGCCCUAGUUCUAACCGUAAA